rnacentral:misc_RNA from 1 species
GAAAUGCGAUAAGUAGUGUGAAUUGCAGAAUUCCGUGAAUCAUCGAAUCUUUGAACGCACAUUGCGCCUUCUGGUAUUCCGGGAGGCAUGCCUGUUCGAGCGUCAUUAAAACCACUCAAGCUCUUUUUUUGCUUGGUCUUGGAGGCAGAGCGGCUCUUCAGCGCGCCUCUCCUCCGAAAUCCAAUGGCGGCCUGGUUCUGUUACCUUGCGUAGUAAGCUUUUGCCUCGCAACGUCAACGCGGAUCGGCUUGCCGGAUAAUCCCCAUCUUUCUCUAGGUUGACCUCGGAUCAGGUAGGGAUACCCGCUGAACUUAAGC